rnacentral:misc_RNA from 1 species
GAUGAAGAACGUAGCGAAAUGCGAUAAGUAAUGUGAAUUGCAGAAUUCAGUGAAUCAUCGAAUCUUUGAACGCACAUUGCGCCCGCCAGUAUUCUGGCGGGCAUGCCUGUUCGAGCGUCAUUUCAACCAUCAAGCCCCCGGCUUGUGUUGGGGACCUGCGGCUGCCGCAGGCCCUGAAAACCAGUGGCGGGCUCGCUAGUCACUCCGAGCGUAGUAGUUACAUCUCGCUCAGGGCGUGCUGCGGGUUCCGGCCGUUAAAAGCCUUAUUUACCCAAGGUUGACCUCGGAUCAGGUAGGAAGACCCGCUGAACUUAAGCAUAUCAAUAAGGGAGGA